UUACAAGACACAGUUUGGUCACGAAGGUAAUAGACACGUCUUAUCAGGGCACGCUCAGUUGAUCCCUUGUUUCCAUAUUUAACUAAUCUCGUUGUGCAAGCGAAUUUGUCUAGAUAACUCUAGAUUGGCAGAUGGAAAUAAGCUGAUAUUAAAUAUUUGGAAUGUUGUCAACAGUAAUAGAGAUUAGUAGCAAGGAAUUCUUGAAAAAAUAUCUCAGACCAGCUUGCUAAGUGCUAAAAAUAUUUGUUUGAAAACUCAAAAAGUGAGAAUCAGUAUGACUUGCACCUUUUAUGAAAUAGUGAGUAAUUUAUUUAUAAGA
rnacentral:misc_RNA from 1 species